rnacentral:lncRNA from 1 species
CUACCCGCCGCGCGCUCUUCGCUGGCCUGUGGGCCACAGCCCUCCUCCUCCUCCCCUUCGCCUUCGCGGGUGUGGGCGCCUCGAGGCACUGGCGAGCCUCUCCAG